AAAAGUUAAACCAAUGGAAACUUUGUUCAAUGUGCAAGGAAUAGUGAUUGGUUAAUAGAGGACUCGUAUUCUGAUUGGCUCUGUUAUGCCCAAUAGGAUAAGACUACAAUUGUUUGUAGGUCUAUUAUGCAAGCGUGGAACGAUAUUUUUACGGUCUCCCUUCUAAACUACAUGCACAGUGGCAUCUCACAUCUCGAAAUAAUGACUUCGAACACUGUGUGCACAUUCAGAGUUCUGCUGUUCAAAGAAAAUCAAUUUGUUGGAGAAAAUGCUUGUUAUCAGAGUUGGAGCUGGCUUUUACUUCAGUGGGCUGAAGAUCAAUUCCCUUAUCAUCAAAGUGUCAAAGUUUUUGCAAAAACCUUACGGCAGACGUUACACCAACAAUCUGGGGGUCCACCUUUUAAAUGUUUGCACACACCCAAGAGGAUUCAGGUAAUGGCAUUCACCUGGAAACCAACUAGACCAUUCCACUAACUGUUUACAGGUAUGUGGUACAAAAUUUUAAGAUAAAUACUUAAAACUAAUACAGUCUAGCAUGUUAAAUAAAUAACAUGCAAAUCCACAAUUAUUCAUAAAUGCCCUAUUACUAAACAUUAAUAUCACUUUAUGAGACAAUUAAAAUACUAAUACACUAACGCAUGACUGGAAUCAGCAUAAAAUAUGAUAAUGAAAUAUGUACGUUACAAAUACAAACUUAUUUCUUUCAUUGGCUGUCAAUACCCUGAACACAAUAGAUUGCCAAGGCAGUAACUUGUUUAUUACUUUAUAUCUUGAAAAUGUGAACUUUCAUCAUUACAUGAUAACUAUAGCUGUUCA